AUUGAACGCCGGCGGAAUGCUUUACACAUGCAAGUCGAACGGCAGCACGGACUUCGGUCUGGUGGCGAGUGGCGAACGGGUGAGUAAUGUAUCGGAACGUGCCCAGUCGUGGGGGAUAACGUAGUGAAAAUUACGCUAAUACCGCAUACGAUCUAUGGAUGAAAGCGGGGGAUCGCAAGACCUCGCGCGAUUGGAGCGGCCGAUAUCAGAUUAGGUAGUUGGUGGGGUAAAGGCCCACCAAGCCAACGAUCUGUAGCUGGUCUGCGAGGACGACCAGCCACACUGGAACUGAGACACGGUCCAGACUCCUACGGGAGGCAGCAGUGGGGAAUUUUGGACAAUGGGCGAAAGCCUGAUCCAGCCAUUCCGCGUGCAGGAUGAAGGCCCUCGGGUUGUAAACUGCUUUUGUACAGAACGAAAAGGUUUCUACUAAUACUAGGAGCUCAUGACGGUACUGUAAGAAUAAGCACCGGCUAACUACGUGCCAGCCGCCGCAGUAA
rnacentral:rRNA from 1 species